rnacentral:rRNA from 1 species
CGGAGGGAUCAUUACCGAGUUUACAACUCCCAAACCCCUGUGAACAUACCAAUUGUUGCCUCGGCGGAUCAGCCCGCUCCCGGUAAAACGGGACGGCCCGCCAGAGGACCCCUAAACUCUGUUUCUAUAUGUAACUUCUGAGUAAAACCAUAAAUAAAUCAAAACUUUCAACAACGGAUCUCUUGGUUCUGGCAUCGAUGAAGAACGCAGCAAAAUGCGAUAAGUAAUGUGAAUUGCAGAAUUCAGUGAAUCAUCGAAUCUUUGAACGCACAUUGCGCCCGCCAGUAUUCUGGCGGGCAUGCCUGUUCGAGCGUCAUUUCAACCCUCAAGCCCUCGGGUUUGGUGUUGGGGAUCGGCGAGCCCUUGCGGCAAGCCGGCCCCGAAAUAUAGUGGCGGUCUCGCUGCAGCUUCCAUUGCGUAGUAGUAAAACCCUCGCAACUGGUACGCGGCGCGGCCAAGCCGUUAAACCCCCAACUUCUGAAUGUUGACCUCGGAUCAGGUAGGAAUACCCGCUGAACUUAAGCAUAU